rnacentral:rRNA from 1 species
AACGAACGCUGGCGGCAGGCUUAACACAUGCAAGUCGAGCGAGGCCUUCGGGUCUAGCGGCGGACGGGUGAGUAACGCGUGGGAACGUGCCCUUCUCUACGGAAUAGCCCCGGGAAACUGGGAGUAAUACCGUAUACGCCCUUUGGGGGAAAGAUUUAUCGGAGAAGGAUCGGCCCGCGUUGGAUUAGGUAGUUGGUGGGGUAAUGGCCCACCAAGCCGACGAUCCAUAGCUGGUUUGAGAGGAUGAUCAGCCACACUGGGACUGAGACACGGCCCAGACUCCUACGGGAGGCAGCAGUGGGGAAUCUUAGACAAUGGGGGCAACCCUGAUCUAGCCAUGCCGCGUGAGUGAUGAAGGCCUUAGGGUUGUAAAGCUCUUUCAGCUGGGAAGAUAAUGACGGUACCAGCAGAAGAAGCCCCGGCUAACUCCGUG